AAUCUGUCAGCAAAUGAUGUUAAACCAGAUCUGACAAACUGCUGAGUUUGUUCAAUCCAAUCCUGAGCUUCGUGUU